rnacentral:rRNA from 1 species
GAUUGAACGCUGGCGGUAUGCUUAACACAUGCAAGUCGAACGGAAACGAUACUAGCUUGCUAGUAGGCGUCGAGUGGCGGACGGGUGAGUAACGCGUAGGAAUCUGCCUGAUAGUGGGGGAUAGCCCGAAGAAAUUCGGAUUAAUACCGCAUAAUCUAUUCGUAGUAAAGUGGGGGACUUUCGAGCCUCACGCUAUCAGAUGAGCCUGCGUAAGAUUAGCUUGUUGGUAGGGUAAAAGCCUACCAAGGCGACGAUCUUUAGCUGGUCUGAGAGGAUGAUCAGCCACAUCGGGACUGAGACACGGCCCGAACUCCUACGGGAGGCAGCAGUGGGGAAUAUUGGACAAUGGGGGCAACCCUGAUCCAGCAAUACCGCGUGUGUGAAGAAGGCCUGAGGGUUGUAAAGCACUUUCAAUUGUGAAGAAAAGUUAGCGGUUAAUAACCGUUAGCCUUGACGUUAACUUUAGAAGAAGCACCGGCUAACUCCGUGCCAGCAGCCGCGGUAAUACGGAGGGUGCAAGCGUUAAUCGGAAUUACUGGGCGUAAAGCGUGCGUAGGCGGUUUAUUAAGUCAGAUGUGAAAGCCCCGGGCUUAACCUGGGAACUGCAUUUGAAACUGGUCAAACUAGAGUAUGGUAGAGGAAAGUGGAAUUUCUGGUGUAGCGGUGAAAUGCGUAGAUAUCAGAAGGAACAUCAAUGGCGAAGGCAGCUUUCUGGACCAAUACUGACGCUGAGGUACGAAAGCGUGGGUAGCAAACAGGAUUAGAUACCCUGGGUAGUCCACGCCGUAAACGAUGAUAACUAGCCGUUGGGGGGAUUUACCCUUUAGUGGCGAAGCUAACGCGUUAAGUUAUCCGCCUGGGGAGUACGGCCGCAAGGUUAAAACUCAAAGGAAUUGACGGGGACCCGCACAAGCGGUGGAGCAUGUGGUUUAAUUCGAUGCAACGCGAAGAACCUUACCUGGUCUUGACAUCCUGCGAACUUUCUAGAAAUAGAUUGGUGCCUUCGGGAACGCAGUGACAGGUGCUGCAUGGCUGUCGUCAGCUCGUGUCGUGAGAUGUUGGGUUAAGUCCCGUAACGAGCGCAACCCCUAUCCUUAUUUGCCAGCACAUCAUGGUGGGAACUAUAAGGAGACUGCCGGUGAUAAACCGGAGGAAGGCGGGGACGACGUCAAGUCAUCAUGGCCCUUACGACCAGGGCUACACACGUGCUACAAUGGGAAGGACAAAGAGCCGCGAAGCCGCGAGGUGUAGCUAAUCUCAUAAACCUUUUCGUAGUCCGGAUUGGAGUCUGCAACUCGACUCCAUGAAGUCGGAAUCGCUAGUAAUCGUAGAUCAGAAUGCUACGGUGAAUACGUUCCCGGGUCUUGUACACACUGCC